UUGACUUAGUCUUCCAUAAACUCCCCAUUUUCAUUCUUUCAAGAAAAAGAAAAAUACCCCUACCCUCUCUACUUCUUAUCACCUGAAAACUUAAUGAAAACUACCAUAAAUUUUCACUAAACCAACCAGCAAAAUUCAUUCUUGGUGAAGCUCAAGUUGCUCAUCUCUUUUGUGGUAUAUAUAUCCUUGUAAAAGCUAAGGGAAAGUAUUUGAGGAAGUGGACGGAUUUGGUUUGUCUAGGGCGUAGACGAUUCGAACGUCCUCAAGUUGUGGUUGAACUAUUUUGUGAUAAAACACCAAGGUAAUGUACGGGAUGGAAUUUGAAGACGGCCUUAUGAAGUAGUCUUUUUGGGAGCACUUAUGGAGAUCACAUUUGCAUAUGCAUCAUGGUUUUGUAUAGUUUUGGGACUUGUACAUGAUAUAUAUGUCACACUUAUGUAUGUUAUUUGGAGGCUUGGAUAU